UGAGGAAUAUUGGACAAUGGAUGGAAAUCUGAUCCAGCCAUGCCGCGUGCAGGAAGACGGCCCUAUGGGUUGUAAACUGCUUUUAUACGGGAGCAAUAAGGUCUAUGCAUAGAUUGAUGAGAGUACCGUAUGAAUAAGCAUCGGCUAACUCCGUGCCAGCAGCCGCGGUAAUACGGAGGAUCCGAGCGUUAUCCGGAUUUAUUGGGUUUAAAGGGUGCGCAGGCGGGAGAUUAAGUCGGCGGUGAAAUUUUGCAGCUCAACUGUAAAAGUGCCUUCGAAACUGGUUUUCUUGAGUGUAGAUGAAGUAGGCGGAAUUUGUGGUGUAGCGGUGAAAUGCAUAGAUAUCACGAGGAACUCCGAUUGCGCAGGCAGCUUACUAAGCUACAACUGACGCUCAUGCACGAAGGCGUGGGGAUCAAACAGG
rnacentral:rRNA from 1 species